GGGGGAAACCCUGACGCAGCAACGCCGCGUGGGUGAUGAAGGUCUUCGGAUUGUAAAGCCCUGUUUUCUGGGACGAUAAUGACGGUACCAGAGGAGGAAGCCACGGCUAACUACGUGCCAGCAGCCGCGGUAAUACGUAGGUGGCGAGCGUUGUCCGGAUUUACUGGGCGUAAAGGGUGCGUAGGCGGAUGUUUAAGUGGGAUGUGAAAUCCCCGGGCUUAACCUGGGGGCUGCAUUCCAAACUGGAUAUCUAGAGUGCAGGAGAGGAAAGCGGAAUUCCUAGUGUAGCGGUGAAAUGCGUAGAGAUUAGGAAGAACACCAGUGGCGAAGGCGGCUUUCUGGACUGUAACUGACGCUGAGGCACGAAAGCGUGGGUAGCAAACAGGAUUAGAUACCCUGGUAGUCCACGCCGUAAACGAUGGAUACUAGGUGUAGGGGGUAUCAACUCCCCCUGUGCCGCAGUUAACACAAUAAGUAUCCCGCCUGGGGAGUACGGUCGCAAGAUUAAAACUCAAAGGAAUUGACGGGGGCCCGCACAAGCAGCGGAGCAUGUGGUUUAAUUCGAAGCAACGCGAAGAACCUUACCUGGACUUGACAUCCCUUGCAUAGCCUAGAGAUAGGUGAAGCCCUUCGGGGCAAGGAGACAGGUGGUGCAUGGUUGUCGUCAGCUC
rnacentral:rRNA from 1 species